rnacentral:rRNA from 1 species
AGUGAACGCUGGCGGUAGGCCUAACACAUGCAAGUCGAACGGCAGCACAGUAGGAGCUUGCUCUUACGGGUGGCGAGUGGCGGACGGGUGAGGAAUACAUCGGAAUCUACUUUUUCGUGGGGGAUAACGUAGGGAAACUUACGCUAAUACCGCAUACGACCUACGGGUGAAAGCAGGGGAUCUUCGGACCUUGCGCGAUUGAAUGAGCCGAUGUCGGAUUAGCUAGUUGGCGGGGUAAAGGCCCACCAAGGCGACGAUCCGUAGCUGGUCUGAGAGGAUGAUCAGCCACACUGGAACUGAGACACGGUCCAGACUCCUACGGGAGGCAGCAGUGGGGAAUAUUGGACAAUGGGCGCAAGCCUGAUCCAGCCAUACCGCGUGGGUGAAGAAGGCCUUCGGGUUGUAAAGCCCUUUUGUUGGGAAAGAAAAGCAGCAGGUUAAUACCUCGCUGUUCUGACGGUACCCAAAGAAUAAGCACCGGCUAACUUCGUG